rnacentral:rRNA from 1 species
UACAGAGGGUGCGAGCGUUAAUCGGAAUUACUGGGCGUAAAGCGCGCGUAGGCGGCUUUGCAAGUCGGGUGUGAAAUCCCCAGGCUUAACCUGGGGAACUGCAUUCGAGACUGCAUUGCUAGAGUAUGGGGAGAGGGAAGUGGAAUUUCCGGUGUAGCGGUGAAAUGCGUAGAUAUCGGAAGGAACAUCAGUGGCGAAAGCGACUUCCUGGACCAAUACUGACGCUCAUGUGCGAAAGCGUGGGGAGCAAACAGG